AGAAGGUGAUUACCAACGAAAGUGAUGUUGAUGAAGAUCUUGGUGGUCAUAUAGUUGGUGAAUCUAACCGCCUUUCAUCUUCCUUUGAUUCGUAUCGGUCUAAUAAUGACCCAAAAGGAAAGUCAAAGAUUGUUUUUGGUCACGAGACUGUAUCUGCAAAGGUUCAUCCUAAGCUCAAAUCAAAGUUUUAUGUUGGAGAUAAAGGGCUUUCGACAAAGGUUG